UUAGAAACCUGAAACUCACGCUUGGAGGAGGAGGCAUCGCUCGGCUGGGCUGGUGUCUCUGAGCUGGAGAGGGGCCCAUGGGGACUUGGUGUCUCUUGGGAGAGGGGAGCGUGAUGAGGCUUGUGAUGUUAUUGUGUCUGGUGAAAACAUCUUAUUACUACAAGGGGAACCAGCUGGAGGACAAAACCAACACCUUGAGGACAGAAAAGCAGAGAGAUGAAGACAACCUAUGUCCUCAGUACCUCAAGCUGCCCAUGGUACUACACCUAGAGCCCACAACUUCUGGAAUUCCCAUUAGUGGUAUGAUAGGCUUCCUUAUAUGAUUGAAUCUGGGUUUUCUAUUACUUGCGGAUAAAGCAUCCUAACCAACUGAGCACUGGAUUGGAAUUCUUGCAUUAGCUGAGGAGAGCUUAGCGCUAACAAGAUUUGGGUAUUAAGGAGAUGUAACUGGUAUUGUCACAGGCUGGUGGUGCCAGGACAAUGGGGUCAUUCAUGCUUCUAUACAUGUCAGGUGUGACUCUUACUUUACAAACCAGCUGAGCUAGGAAUAUUGUAUUCCUCUGCUUUUUCCCUUUUAAUCAAAGUAAAUAUGACUCUGAGCCUGCAAUCCUGUUCAGUGGGCAGAUACUUAAUCUAUCAUUCUGGGAGCUCAACCACCUGAAAAAUUGUGCCCCAUUGGGCAAAAGUGUAGAGGCAUCCCACUCACUCAUCAGCCGGUAGUCCACACUGAAUUUUCCUUUUGCCUCAGGUCUCGUCCAGUUUGGUGAUUUUAAUGUUUCUGAGUCCAGCUUUGGGGUCCAGGGAUCUUUGUUGAGGCUGGAAAGCCAAUGCCUAAGGCUUCAUGUCCUCUGAGAUCUGACACUUACCCAAGACUCUGAUGGGUUUUGUUCUCACAAUCAGAGUUUUUUCUAACUUUCUGGUCUCUGGGCAUACUCCUUUCUCUUUCCUUGUCCUUCAAAGUCCUCCCUCCUCCAUCCCCCUUCUCCCUCAGGGUGUCUGCAUCAUCUCCUCAAUGAGCCAGGGCUUUUACCAAGAGCCAGGGCUUUUUACCAAGAAGAUCUAUUAGCUUCAAGCAGCUUCUGCUUUCAGUCCUGUAAGAAUUCCCAAGGCCAGAAAAAACAAAAAUCCUGACUAGCAGUGCCUGCUUGGAAAGAGAAGGCAAUGGAAAAAUACAGCGAAUUUAUUAAUAUGGCAAUUAUCUUGUCACAGAUACCUCAGAGGUGACGGGAGAACUCAGCCCAAUAGAGGGCUGGCUUCAUGCUGAGUGGCAGCAAGCCAACCAAUGAAAGUGGGACAAAGAGAAAGAAGGUAGAUCCUGAGUGCCAUGGGGGAAACUUUCCUGGUAGCUUGCAAAACCUGCCUCACAGUCUGGAAUUGAAAGCCUGGCGAUUAGGUACCUCUUCCCACCUGCCUCUUUCCUACCUCGUUCCAGAGUGUACUUGAAAAUACAUUCUCAUUCCCAUAGCAUUCUCUCUGUCUCUGCCUUGCGGUCACACAUGGGGCUAUGAUAAAUGCUAACCUAUGAGGGAGUGGGAAGGAUCAAACAAGAUAAUGUACAUGACAAGUCUCUGACUUGUUCAACAUAUAGGGAGGUGCUGGCAUCUCACCAGGGCUGGAGCCACUCGUCUUGCCCAGCCUCCUUGGUGAAGGUCACCUUUCUUAUAGCCCUGGUGGUCCGGGUCAGCUGGCAUCUGCUACCACCCUCCAGGUGGCCGUGGGACUCUGGGCUUCUGGACUUGCCCCCAGGUAAACAAGGGCAGCAGAAGUACUAGCUGGAUUUAGAUAGGCUGAAAGGACCUUUGAGAUCAUUAAAGCCAGCUCCCUAAUUUAACAGAUAAGAGCCCUGGGGUUAGAAGGCCAGAGGCCUUGGCUAAAGUCUUGCGAAGAUAUAAUGUGACAGCACCCAGGGGCAGGCUCUUUGUUCCCACCCCUCCCUUAUCAUCCUAAUCAGUCCUGCUUCUUCCUGCUUCUGCUGCUUGAUCCUGAUUGUCCCCUCUGGUGGUUUUGAGUGAUUGACCUGCACUGUCUUGUUGCUGCCUUGCCUCCUGCAGAAGGCUCUCUCCAGGCUUGGGGGCUGCUAGAUGAUUAACCCAAGGACAAGAAAGGUGUGUGGAGCCCACUGAACCCAGAUCUUGGGCUGGGCCCUUACUCAUUCUCACUGUCAUCCUCAGAGCAUUUCUGAAAGGAAAUGAGACUGUGGGUUACUCAGAAGACAGCCCUGGGCAUUUCCCAGUUUAUAGGUAUCUUCUGGGCAUGCUCAUUUGUGAGUUUCUGACCAGAAGCAUUUCAGUCCGAAGAUGACCUUCAGUCAAACCAUGGAGCAAACAGGUCUGGGGUUUUGACUCCUAUUGUCUUGAUUGGUCUACCAAACACCUCAGGGCAUUCUGAGGCCGGUAACCUAUAAAGCACACUGUAAGAAACAUUGGUGUAUGGGUUGGUGAAUUUGGGCAAACUCCUUACCCACCAUAAAAUGGGGUUAAGAAUAUCUACUUCCUAGUGGCUGUGAGGGUUAUAUAAGAUGGUGGAAUGUGAAGUGUUUAGCACAAUACCGUGCACACGGGAAGCAUGCAACACACACUCACUGUUACUGCUAUUAUGAUUAUUUUAACUGGGCCACUGUUCAGCUAGGCUCCCUGCUACCGCUGCCUGCUUCAAACCUCUGCCUGGUGCGAGAGAUCGUCUGUCAGUCUUGUUCUUCAUCCCUCUGCUUCCCAAUCCCAUCAACUAGAUCUCUUAGCACUCACUCCCCAGCAUGGACUAAAAUGCCAGGACUGUCUCCGCUGCCCCCAACCCCUCAGCACCUCCCCCACACACAAAUACACAACCUGUGCUUUAGCUCUGCACAUUGCCUCCUGCAAAAUCUGGUUGUCAAGGUGUUGAGGGUGUUAAUAGAAGUUGUCUUUGGGUGGGCGAGAUUGUAGGUGGGGUUUUUUUAUUUCCUUUCUUUGCUUGUCUGUAUUUUCUGAUUUGUUUGUCAUGGGUAUGUUUUGCAUUUGUACCAAGAAAAUAUGAUUUUUAAUUUUUAUAAAAUCUGCUCACUAUCUCUAGGAAACUCUCCCUGAAGGGUUCCACUGCAUUCUGAGCACUCCUUUGAAUGACCUGUCCCCUCAGUACUUCUCUGUGCUACAUUUGUGUUCUCUUGUGAGUUGGUCUGUAGAUGUUCUUAAAGGGGUUUUGCACCUGUGAGCAGGCAAUAGGCACCUUGACGGUAGAGGCUAGAUCAUAUUUUCUGUUUGACUUUUUCUUUUUUUGACAAAAGUUUUGAAACAGCUUGUCUGUUUCUUUUUUCUUUCUCCUUCUCCUUCUUCUUCUUCUUUUUUUUUUUUUGGUAAGUAGGCUCCAUACCCAGAGUGGAGCCCAGCCUGGGGCUUGAACUCAAGACCCUGAGAUCAAGACCUGAGCUGAGAUCAAGAUUUAGACACUUAACCGACUGAGCCACCCAGGUGCCCCUCAGCUUGUAUUUUGUAGCUGACUUCAGCUCUCCACCCUUCUCUCUGCACCAUUGAGCCCAUGACUGGAAGAGGUCAAGGGUGCUUGGUUAGAGCUGGGCUUGAUCUAGCUGGCUGAACUUCCCAUUGUUCCCAUUUUACAGUCCCUGACACUUGAGCUAGCAGUAGAAUGCAGUUUCUGGGGAACCCUGAUGCAUAGAUGGCAGCUUUCAGCAGGCAUUGGCUCUAUUAUGGGGCUUGGCGCAUGUCUUAGCUUAGGCAUGAAUUUAGCCAAGGUCUUGAAAAAUCACCACACAGGUACUUGUGUGACACAGACAGAGUCUAAGGUAACAGGCGGGAGAGAGUGAGGGGCACACAGUAUAUGGAAGUGCUGGGAGCGUCAUACUAAGGGGAACAGUCUGGGAAGUCUUGGAUAGACCUGAGGGAUAGGUGAAGACAUGGAGGGGUGGGGUGGGAAGAAAGGCAGGAGUCGGGCACAGUACUGAGGAGGGAAGACAUAUGGCCUGGAGGAGAAGAGCUGGUUGAUGAAUUAAGGGGUUAAGAGGUCAAGCUGUGGAGUCAAAAGACCUGGAUUUGAGUCAUUAACAAACUAUGUGAUCUUGGGAAAGUUUCGAGCCUUCAACAAGUCUGGAUUUUCUUAUCUGUGUAAUACAGCUAAAGGCAGUUCCUUCCUAUUAGAAUUUUUAUGAGGAAUUAACGAAAUAAUGCUUAUAAAAUGCAUUUUAAACACACAAUAAAUGCUAGCUAAGAUUACUGCUAUUAUUUAUUAUAAUUAUUAUAAAUGCAUACUUGGCAUUUGUUUUCCAGAAGAAUCUCAUUGCACUUCCAUUCAGGCCCUUCUUUCCCAUGCAUUUGUUCACCUGCAUUCAUUCAUUUAGUGCAUAUAUUAUUAUAUGUAAUAAGUAUAUAUAUAUACACAUUUAUUAUAUGUAGUAAUAAUACAAUAACUAACAUUUAAAUAGCAUAUUCUAUGUGCCAAAUAUUGUUCUAAGUACUUUAUAUAUAUGAAACUCAUUUGAUCUUCCCAAUAAGGCUUUUUUUUUUAAAGAUUUUAUUUAUUUGUCAGAGAGAGAGAGGGAGCACACAAGCAGAGGGGGAGGCAGGUGGAGGGAGAAAUAGGCUCCCCCCUGUGCAAGUAACCUGAGCAGAAGGCAGACGUUUAACUGAUUGAACCACCCAGUCAUCGCCCCAAUAAUACUUUGAAGUAGGUACUAUUCUCAUCUAUAUUUUAUCUAGAAUGAAAUCGAAAUACAGAGAAGUUAAGCAGUUUGCCCGAAGUCACACAAUGAGUAAGUAACAAAACUAGAAUUUUGGUUCCAUUAGAAUCCAGGCUCUCGACUCCUUAACCUGUGCUAUUUUCAAAGACUUUGGGAAGAACUGAAGGACAAAAGUCUGAAUUAAACACUAAUUUGCAGGGAGAUAGUAACCAGGAGGAAUAGCAAGAUACUUAUGAUAAGAUCGUACCCACCCAAGGGUGACCAUGGUUGCCUGGAAGUCUAGGCAGAAUCCACGCAGGCCUCUGGACAUGCCUGGAUGGUCAGCUGUGACCAGCUUGUGUAUCAGAUGACGUCCCUGUUGUAGGUUCUCCAAGACUUCGUUAAAUUAGUGCAUUGCUGAUACCUCUUGGCCACAGCUGGUGCCACUUGUCCCAUGGACGGCUGGAUGACAUAAUGUGGGUGGAUGAAUAUAAACCCACCCCACUACUGGUUGAAAAAAUAACUCAAAGUACAAAGCCUACUGUGUGUGGGUUGGGUCAUUGCCCCAUUGGGUCAUUGCAUCAUUCACUGGCUGGCCAUCUAUCUUUUACUUCUGUGCUCUGUGCUGGAUAUUACACUGAAAACAUGUUUUUCUGCCCCCUCUUGAGCACACUUCCAGAAUCCCUAGGAUUAUUCCACUUAGCCUUCCCAGCUUCAAACGGCUUAUGCUUUAGUAUAAAGGUUUAGAAUGUUGGUGCUAAAAAGAUCCUAGAUAGUAGUAUCCUGGAGCUGGCUCCUCCUAACUCAUAAGAACUGAUUGUUAAAUUUUCCGGAAUUUUGUAAGCCAGUUGCUAACACAGCCGUGAUCAAAUAUUGCAUUAUAUAAACUUACAAUGAAAUAAAUUAUAUUAAAAGCAAAGGUAAUAAAUACUCAAAACUCAUUGCUUCAUAGUUACUUGAGCAUAUGGUAUACUACUGCAUGCCCGGCUCUGCAUUCAGUGAUGUGACAUUGGUGACUUGAGUGUAGCCACGGUGGUAGUAUUUACAUCGCAGAAAUCAGCAAACACUACAAUCAGCAGCCCCUACUCCCCAGGCUAUUCUUAGACAUUUCCCUGCACACUGGCCCUAGAGAUAAUCGCAUCUGGUGAUUUUCACCCUGUUUCAGCCAAGGAGAUCCCCUGAGAGUCCUUGGUUGCUGCCUGAAGGAGGAAGUGGAGGACAUGUUGGGCAAAGUGAGAGCAGGUGGGGCUUUCCCCGUAGCCCCAGCCCAGAAGGAGGCCAGUGACAUGUUUUUUUGUUUGUUUGUUGUUGAUAUAAACUUACAUACAAGAUUUUGUCCGAGUAGUUCUUUCCAUACGUAAAAACAAUGGAAAGUUACUAAUCUCAUCUAAUCUUAUUUUACAGUUCGGGGAAACAGAAAUAUUUACAGUUUAGAUCCAGAGGAGGGAAGUGACUUAACUCUGGGUCUUGCAGAGCCCAGUCCACGGAGUUAUGGGAGGGAGCCAACAGCAUGGCUCCUCAUAGCUGGAGACAGUCUCCCGCAGACACUCCUGGGAGCUGCCCUCGCGGCUCCUCCCAGAUGGGCGGUCCUCCCAGAGCCAUGUCUGCUGUGUCCCCUCAGGCCCAAGAGAUGGAGUGGACUCCAUCCAAGCCUUGUGGGUGGUUUUCCCUCCUAACAGAAACCCUUCCUGAUACCUCUGCAGACCUGGCUGCUUUUCAUCUUCCCUGAUUUGACGCCACGUUGAAAAUCUUACUCUCCCAACAAGUUUUUUAAUUUGCCUGACUUUCAAUUGGGGAAAUCUGCUUAAAGUUUUAACAAACAAAACAAACAGUCAUUUUAUUUUAUAUUAAGCAAAGGCAGAAAUGGAUGUCAGAAAGCCUGCUGGAGAGCCUUAGUGUCGCGGCAGUAGGGGUAUGGUUGAUAGCCAAGAGUGGAAGACAGGCAGAGUGGGGAGAGAAGAUAAAAAGAAACCUUGAAAAGAAUGAUUUUUUAGAGGUAAGAAAAUUUAGCUACAGGUGUCAAGGAGUGUCCUGUUUCCUGAGACUUCUAAGUCUUGCCAGUUGCUUCCUUCUAGCAUAAGCUGAUCGCUUGUGUUAUCUGUCAGUUGUGCUUUCUUAUGCAACCCCCAUUACACAGUGCCCAGGGAGUCCAUAGAUGUGUUGCACAAACACAGCUUUGUGGUAAUACCACAAUGAAGAAUUCUGCCAUAAAUGUUGUAUGAGUUUGCUAGGUCUACCGUAAUGAAAUAACGAAAGACAAGGUGGCUUAAACAACAGAAAUUUAUAUUCUCAUGUUUCUGGAGGGUGAAAAUCCAAGAUCGAGAUGCGGACAGGCUUGUUUUUUCCUGAGGUCUCUCUCCUUAUCUUGCAGAUGGGCACCUUCUUGCUGUGUCCUCACAUGGUCUUCCUCUGUGAAUGUACAUGUCUGAUGUCUCUGUGUGUCCAAAUUUCCUCUUCUAAAGAUACCAUAUUAGAUUGGAACUCAUCCUAAUGUCCUCAUUUUACCUUAAUCGCCUCUUUAAAAAAUUAUCUCCAAAUAUUGUUACUUUCUGAGGUAGUUUAGAUGUCUGAGGUAAUUCAUACAUUGAGGUUAGGACUUCGACUUACGAAUUUGGGGGAUAUAAUUCAGCACAUAACAAGUACUUGGGAACCAUUUAUCCUAUACUACAUGAAAAGGACCCCAAUCACAUACUUGGAUAUCAAUGGUGCCCCCUCAUUGACAUGGAGAGGCUUUAUUGUGUACACAAAUUCACGGCCAUGCUUUGGACUGAGAGCUCAUCAGGUGAAGUGCUUUAGAAAAAAAAUCUCAUGUUGGCUUAAAGAAUUUUGAAAGUUCUCUCUCCUCCAAAUUGCCUUUUUGUUUGUUAUCACAGUUUAUUCUCAUAGGCGGGAAGUCCUUAAGGGAUUUUCAAUAUUAGCAAAAGCUACCGAUGACAUGGAAACAGGUGCAAUGUCUGAAUCUGGCUGAAAGUAGUAAGGAGAGGUCAUUGGUGAAGGUGAACAGGGCAGGCGAAGGUCACACUGUCCCAUGUAAGACAUGUAUUGAGUAUACUUCCUCUUGUGCUGUGUCACCCAUUCCUUCAUUCUUUUUUCAAUCUGUUAGUCCUUGCCAGGCAUCUAGAAUGGGCUGGAACUGCAGAUACACAGUGAGUGAUGUUAUUAGUCCCUGCCUUUGUGAGUUUACAGCUCAGCUAUGUGAACUAUUAAAAACAUGACUCAGGGGCGCCUGGGUGGCACAGCGGUUGAGCGUCUGCCUUCGGCUCAGGGCAUGAUCCCGGCGUUGUGGGAUCGAGCCCCACAUCAGGCUUCUCCACUAUGAGCCUGCUUCUUCCUCUCCCACUCCCCCUGCUUGUGUUCCCUCUCUUUCUGGCUGUCUCUAUCUCUGUCAAAUAAAUAAAUAAAAUCUUAAAAAAAAAAACAAAACAUGAUUCAAAGAAACACAGUCCUUGCCUUACAGAGACGAUCUGACAGGCAUUAGGAAACCAUCUCCAGGGCCAGACUGUGCCUGCUAGAUCUGCCUAGGCAAACGUGGGUGCCCACUUCCUGCUUCUCUGCACCCAGGAAGCUGGUGGUGAGGCACUGGUCCAGUGCCUCUGACCAUGUUUGCCAGGUAACAGCAGACAAAGCAGACCACAGUCUCCUCUCACAUCUCAAGACAGUGCUUCUGGCGAGCGUUCUUCUACGUGGGAGGAGCUCUGCUGGUGCAACGCUCUCGCCCACCCUCCAUCCCUUCACAUACUCCUUCCCAGGGCAGGUGGAAUGACAGAAUUGAUCGGCAGGUUUGGAAGAUGAAACUUAAUGCACAUAGACCAGACCCCACCUCUGCGCUUUCUUUUGGGAGUAAGUUGCUGCCCCCCCCCCAUGUGUUUUCUGCCGUGCAUUUCCAGGGACAAAGUUUCCCCUCCUGGGGAGGAAUGUGGUUUCCCAGAGCUGCCUCUGACUGGCUGGGUAUGUUGGUCUGAUGUUAGAGUUCAGUGGUAGGGAGAUUACCUGCCUAUGGUUACACUUGCUAAUACAGAUUUAUUAGAAAUAAGGGUAAUGGUUUGAACUUGAUAUGCCAACUUUUUCUGUUCUUUUUCUUGUUUCUCUUUUGAUUCAAGAAUCUGGUAAGGAAACUAGGGCUGGUGACAUGGAUCAAAUUCUCCUUGUGCUUCUGUCUGUCACAAUGCCGCUGUUGGUAUGACUAUCGGUUGCUCUUGAAGCAUUCACACCUAUUUCCCAUGUGAUCCUCACAAAAACCUCUUGACAAAGACAGGACUGGAUUUAUUAGCGGAGCUGAGGCUGCAAAUGUUGGUGCUUCCAACCUACUCCAUGUGGUGAUACACACAGGAAACUGAAAAAAAUGUAUGCAUCUACAAAUAUAUAAAUCUAUUUCUGUGUCUGUACCCAUAUCUAUACCUCGCCAUGGAAAAUGGAUGAGGCUGUUGGCACCAGAGGUGAUAAGCUCAGAGAUUCUGGCUGCCCUAGGCCUUGCCUGCCUCUUCUGAGCAUUGAGAAGAACGAUAUCUCAGCACCUGUGAACCCAUUCCUUGCCCACCAGUUGGGAAGUUUUAGCUUAGAGAAGUAUGCUAACUAGUUUAAGGCCACAAAAUUAAUAUACAGAAAUUUGAACCCAGAUUCUCUGAGUCCAUAUCUAAAGAGCCUCAAACAUAGUCUGAAAUGGGGGAGGCAUUUGUUUCCAUCAUUCGUACUCAUCUGGCACAGAGAAGUUUCAAAGGGAUGGCCUCUCAUUCUGGUCUGUGCCCAUUGGACUUUCAAUCCCUGCCCAGGGAUGCAGUCUGCCUCCUAUCAGGUCUCCUCCUUUCUGAACCAGAGCAGAUUUUUCUAGCUACCUCCUGUAGAAGGGAAUUCAGGGGAGUCUGCAGUAAGAUCUGAUCUGGUCUAGCGCUCCCCCGCGGGGACGCAGUAUCUAUGGGAUAGCCAGGGUCCUCCCCUGCUUGUAAUUACAGGCAAAGUCCUGGUCUCUAAUGUGAUCAAAACGGUAGAUGGUCCAUUAAUUUAGAAUAUUAUUUUAAAGGGUAACCAUGAGAAACAUACCUUAGCCUUCUUAUUAUAACUUAAAGCAUAUACAGGUAUGUUCAGGCACCAUUUUUUUAAAAGUUGGAUCGAGGCAUUUUCUUGGUGCAGGCUUCUAUUAAUUGGAGUUUUGUUUUCUCUUUCUUGUAUUAGCUAUACUCAUAAUCCAUUUAGCCUGUGUAUCCUCACUGUGUUCCUUCCAUGCGCCCGGCGUAUUCUAGGUGCUGGGGAUACAACACAAAGUCUCCGUGCUUGAGGAGUUUAUGUUCUGUUGGAAUCUUCUGUAAGUUCCCGUUCAGGUUUCUCUGAAGUAGAGGGAGAAUUUAAAGACACAAGGCAAUCCGAGCGCAGAAUCAGGUUAGCAUGUGCAAGAUUUUAACCCCCGGUCUUUCCCAAGUGUCUUUCCCAUGCCACUUCAAUAGGAUUUUUUGUCAUUAGGACAAAAGGACAAGUCACAAGGGCAAGUCAUUAUCAAGCCUUUCCAAAACAGAAAAGGUCAGCUUACACAGAGCAAGAACUCUUUCUUUGUACUCACAUUUCAUUGGUUUUCACAACAAUUACAUUACAUAAUCAGAACGGCAAGGACAACGGGCAGAAAUGUGUUUGGGAACAAAUGGCACUGACCCCUUGUAUGCACUCAGCUCAGUUCGCGGGAACAGAAGCACCCGAGAGCAGCUGAGAGCACCUGAGAGCACGUCUGCUAGUUGAGCAUCUGGCAUGCCUCGGGCACAGUGCGUUUUAUGGAGGAAACAGCAUCCGUUAACCUGGUGACUUGGUCAGGAGGAGGUCAGUUUUAAGAGCUUCUGCCACACGGAUGCACCUGUCCUCUCCAGACCAAAAACAUACUGCACUUGGAGAGUGGCUUAUACCACUCUUACUAAAGGGCUCAAAUACUUAUUCCAAAGCUUUACAAAAGGUGGGGGAAACUAGGAGUUGUACCCGUGUUGGGUGAGGUUUUAUAAAACUAUGUAUUUCUCUUAUUGCAAUGGCUUGGCCCCUAUUUUCCUGGCCUAGAUUUCAUGUCAAAAAGCCCUCCUAUUUAUUAGCCAAAAAUGCCCCUUCCAGAACCAUUCACGACAAAUGGUACAGUGUUCAAAUAGUCUAUCUCUGAUGUCCAAGUUUCUCCCUGAUAGUAGAGGUGAAGUAUUCAGUUCAUCCUCUAUGAGAAAAUACCUGCCCUAUAGGAGAGCCAGGUGCCCUCUCAUCUGUGAAAGGGUAAGAAGAGGACAUGUGCCUGUAUGUGCGGACAGCAGCACGGCAGAGAGAGCGAGCCAUAUUAGAAACAAAGAGGCAAUAAUAAUGAUAAGAAGUCAAUGAUAAAGAUUGUUCGGUGUACCACAGUGCUCCUGAAAUGACAGUGACAUGAGAGAGAUUAUUUAAUCUGACCUGCUUCAUGUUACAAAAAUCAGAAAUGGAGACACUUGAGGAAAAUGACUUGCAGAAGACAGAGCCAGCCCAAGGCAAAGCUGGAGUAGGAAGUCUCUGACAUUCAGUCAUUUAUUCCUUCUCCUACACCUGCUCUUCUCAAAGUAGGGUCCAUAGGCUCCUGAGGACCCCUGGAACACUUAUGAGGGGUUCACGAAGUUAUGAAGGUCUGCACUGGAUGGUUUUUGCCCUUGACACCAUGUUGACAUUUGACUGAAGCUACAAAAGCAACGACAUAACCUACAUAAAUUUUAAGAGUGUAAAAUGGUCCUGAGAAGAAAAAGUUUGCGAACUGCCUGCUUUCCAGUAAGUGCAUUGGAGGAGGUCCUUCUUUCCCCUAUGCCCAAAUAAGCCAGUGGUUGUUACUGUUUUAUUUUUAAAUCCAACCAGCCCUCUUUCUCGAAAACUGUUAAGUAAAGAAAACUGCAGAACAACUACAGAAUCCUGAAAUCAAAGGACCAAAUCUAAGAAAGAAGGCAAAAGAAGCAAGUAAGAGACUUCCUCCAGAGCUGUGCAAGGCUGACUGAGACUCCCCUCCAGGCGGCCUGGUGGGAGCUGCCCGUUUCUUUUUGCAUCAUUGGCCUGACCUCAUGCCUGUCCACCCACUCCCACUCCCUAGGUCUCAGCCCUGUCCGGGAAUGCUAUUCUCUGGGGCCUCUAAACAUAAAUGAACAUAUUAAAGCCUUGGGCUGAUCCCCACCUCGCCUCGCUCCCUGUGCCUCCUCUGGGAUGACAGUGCAGGGAAGGGUACUAUCAGACCGUGCCUCCACCAGCACCCUGUUCUCAGGUUUAGGCCCAAGAUGAAAAGGGAAGGGCCCCAGUUUCUGAACUGAAAAGGAAAUGUAAAUCUCUCACAAGCCACGUGCCAGAAGCUGCCAGGAGACCAUUUCCCUGUUAGUAAACAGGGCCUCCUGGGCCAUCUUUCUCUUCUUUAAUAACCUGUGGGGCACCUAUUGAUUGUACAGGCUGGUCCCUCAUAAAUUAUAACAGGGACGCCGCCUGGUCGCCCUGGAGCUGCGUGGAUGGGAAAACUGGCUCACUAAUACCUCACGCUCAUGGAGCACAGUGUAUCGUGCCACAUAAACGUGAAGAAUAUGCAUCAUCAGGUGCAGAGAACGCACAGGAAACAAGUCGGGCAGCCGCAGAGGCUUCUGGGCAUGCGGCAGACUUUAAUUAGCCAGUUUCUUCCCCUUGCACUGGAGAGCGGCAGAAAUGCUGAUUACACGCCUCUUCCUGCAGAACGCUCUGCUUUCAGUGGUGGGGGGGCGGGAGGCUCAAGCUCUGGUGGGUGGGAGAUGGGGCUGCUCCCGUCUCUACCCCCUCACCAGGAUGGGAGCCGGCCAAUAGGAGGGAAUGUUUAUGCUUUGUGCUAUGGUGAAAAGAGCACCUAGUUAGGAAUCAAGACGCAUUCUACACUCGGGGCCACCUAUGGCUGUAUGAUCUUGGGUAAAACCUUUAAUCUCUCUGAAUCUGCAUCUCAUCUGGGAAGUGGAGAAAGUGAUAUCCCUAGUUGGUUGUGAGGUUUGAGGAAAAUAAGGCUGACCUGGUGCCCUGCAUGCUCUCAGUAAAUACUUGCUGGAACUGAAUUUGAUUCAGUUAAAGGACAUGAUGGCAGAUACAGGUCUGAAAAGAUUUCUUCCUCCCACCUCCCAAAUCUGGCAUCCACCAGUCCCCCUAGCCAACGCCUUGCUCUUCGAGGAAGAAAUGAGGUCACGGAACUCACAGCUUGAUUGGGAAUGAAUCUCUCAUCCCUUCUGUCUUCCUGUGCCCCUCCUGACUUGGCUUCUGAAUUUAAAAUUCAUUUCACAGGGAACCUCUCUAAAGUGGAGAGUAAACAGAAAAACACGCCAGCAUAGCUUCCCAUUCUACUCAAAAAGCUUGGCAUCCACAUGCCCACACUUGGCAGAACCUGGUAGGAAACAUCGGGGUUCUCUGGCUUGAAGCAGGCCCUGGGCAAUUAGGUCCACUGACACUUUCCCCAAGUGAGUAACGCUGUCCCCACAGUUCCCCCACGGUCCCGUUCGCCAUUGCGUGAAAAUGGACUAGAAGGACAGUGUACGUAUGCCCAUGUUUUCCUGCCCCUUCCCCUGGUCCUAGGAAUGAUAUCUGCUGCUCUGGGAUGAGGUGUGUAGGGGUUGAAUGGUGGCCCCCAGAAGAUACAUCCAUAUCCCAGAACUUGUACAUGUGACCUUACUUGGAAAAAGGGUUUGUACAGAUGCAAUUAAGUAAAGGAUCUUGAGAUGAGAUCAUCCUGGAUUACCCCGGGGGGCCCUAACCCAAAGCACAGUGUCCCUGUACGAGACCGGAGGAGAGAACACGGACACAGAGGGGAAGUCCUGUGGAGGUGCAGGCAGAGAGACAGCCACAAGCCAGGGAAUUCCUGGGCCACCGGAAGCUGAGAGACGCGAAGCGUCAUUAUUCUCUAGAGCUUCUGGACAGAGUGUGGCCUGGCCGAUACUUCGAUUUCAGACUUUUGGCCUCCAAAACUGUGAGAGAAUAUAUUUGUCUUGUUUUAAACCACUUAGCUUGUGGCCAUUUGUUCCAGCAGCUCUAGGAAAUGACUCCAAAUGUGCUCCCAACGACGGACUCCCAGCUUGGGGACUUCUUCCCCAGGAGAUGCUUUCUCCCUCUCUCAGAGAAUUUGCACGAGCAGCAGGCUCCGCAGCUGGGUCGGCAACCAGCUCUUGGGAAUGCAAACACCCGAUGGGGCUAUGGCUGAAGAUUCACGCUGGAGAAGGCAUCUGGGGGUGCUUUCGGCAUCUCUUGGUGGACAGCCUUGGAGAAAUGGCCUAAUUUUGGAACUAGACAGACCUUGGUUUAAACCUCAACUCCACUAUGGGCUUUGUGACUCCAGACAAACCACUUGCCCUCUCUGUGCUUCAACUUCCUCUUCUAUAAAAUGAGGAUAAGAACUCCUACCUUCUAGGCGGGAGCAGAUCCAGGAUCUGAGACUCGCAUAUUUUUAGAGACCCUUUUAAAGAAGAGUACAAAGAUUCAAACCCAAAAUUAGGAGUGGGGCCUUGAAAGGGCCUUGUGCCAGUGAGGGGCCCUGAGCUUACAUUAAGCCCGCCUCUGCUUCCAGGGUGUCCUGAGGGUUAGAGAUAAAAGCGUGAAGCUCUAGACAGCAUGGGCUCCUACUGUGUGCUUUGCAAGAGGUAAAGCUGUCUGGAUGAGUACUCUAACACUUAAGUGCACUCCAACACCGAAAGGCACACAGGUAUUUUUGCAACCCACAGAAAAAUGUAUGGUAGCAUACACUCCAUGGCAGGCUGCUAGCUGCUGCCUUUUGCAGAGAGCUGUGGCGGUGAGACUAAGUUCCAGCCAAAGAAGUAUAAGCAAGUAGAGGUUAGAGACUUCCAUAACAUCUUAUGGGAGUGUAUUAGGAAUUGAAUUGUGCCUCCCCCAACCCCCAUUCAUAUGUUGAAGUCCUAAUCCUUAGUAUCUAAGAAUAUGACCUUAUUUGGAAAUAGGGUCCUUGCAGAUGUAAUUAGUUAAGAUAAGGUCAUUAGGGUGGGCCAUAAUACAAUAUUAAUGGUGUCCUUAAAAAGGGAAAAUUUGUUUUGUUUUACUUUUUGAAGAUUUUAUUUAUUUAUUUGGUAGAGCACAAGCAGCAGGUAGAGGGAGAAGCAGGCUCCCCGCUGAGCAGAGAGCCUGACUUGGGGCUCGAUCCCAGGGCCCUGGGAUCAUGACCCUAGCUAAAGGCAGAUGCUUGACCAACUGAGCCACCCAGGCGCCCCUAAAAGGGGAAAAUUUGAACACAGACACACCAGGCAGAGAAUGUGAUGCUUUUAUGAACUAAGGAACAUCAAAGAUUGCCAGCAAAUUACUGGUAGAAAGGAGAGACGCAUGGAAUAGAUUUUCCUUAUAGUCCUCAGAAAGAACCAACCCUGCUGACAACUUAAUUUCAGACUUUUGGCUUACAGAACUAUGAGACAAUAAAUAAAUUUCCGUUGUAUAAGCCUCUCAGUUUGUGGCAAUUUGUUACAGCAGCCCUAGCAAACUCAUACAGAGAGAGAUGCCCUUCUUCACCAAGUUUCCGUCCUCUGCCUGGAAGGCAGAGAAGAGGGCUGGUCCUCCAUUAGCCAUCUUGGUCCAUGAGGAUGAGGUAGAGCAAAGAGCUAAAUGGAGCCUGAGACCCUAAAACUUCACAGAAGUGCCAGAUUAGCCCUGGACUGCCUACCUUUGGGCUUGUUUUCCUGGAAAAUAAGUAUACUUUAAUAUCUUGUUUUUAUUGUUUUGUUUUCUGAAACAUAAUAUUCAUCUGAUACCUGGUUUGAUAAAUUAGUUAUUCUUUAGGGAAGGAUGAGGAUUGGAGUAUCUGGUAAGGGAAUUUUAGCUUUAUCUGUAAUGUUUCAAUUUUGAUAGCACAAUGUAUUCGUGUGUUCUUUCAUAAUUAAAAAUUUUUAUUUUAAUAAAUAAAUUACAAAGAAAAAAAAGAGGGAUGACCUACAAACCUACAGAUUAAGAGAGACCUAAAAAUAUAUCAACCAAUUGCAAUGUAUGAACCUGAUUUGGAUCUUGAUUUAAACAAAAAAUGUUUAAAAAAUUAUGAGAUAACCCAGGAAAUUUUAAUAUUAAUUGGAUAGUUGAUAUUAUGGAAUUAUUAAUUUUUACACAUGCUAAUAAUGUUAUAGUUAUAUAUUUAAAGUGCUCUUACCUUUUAGGCUCCAAAACAUUGUUUUACACCCUUAGCACUAUUGUUAUUUGGGGUCAAAUAAUUUUUUGGGGGGGGAACAGUUGACAUACAAUGUGACAUUAGUUUCAGGUGUACAACAGGCAUUGGCAAGUUUAUACAUUAUGAUGUGCUCACCACAGGUAUAGGUACCAUCUGUCACCAUACAAUGCUAUGACAGUAUCAUUAUCUUUUAUCCCAGUGACUCACUCAUCCCAUGGCUGGAAGCCUGUACCUCCCACUCUUCACCCAUUUUGCCCAUCCCCCACCCCCUUCCCUCUUGGCCACCAUCGCUUUGUUCUGGGCAUUUAUAGGUCUGAUUCUGCUUUUUUUUAUUCAUGCUGUUGUUCUUAUUUAGAUUCCACUUAUGAGUGAAAUCAUAUGGUGUUUGUCUUUCUCAGUCUGACUUCUUUCACUUAGCAUAAUACUCACUAGGUU